rnacentral:misc_RNA from 1 species
GAUGAAGAACGCAGCGAAAUGCGAUAAGUAGUGUGAAUUGCAGAAUUCAGUGAAUCAUCGAAUCUUUGAACGCACAUUGCGCCUCCUGGUAUUCCGGGAGGCAUGCCUGUUCGAGCGUCAUCAAAAACCUCAACCCAUGAUUUAUUGUGAGUUGGUUCUGCAUUGGACUCCUUGUGGGUCCUUUGCGAAAUCCAAUGGCGAAGAGCCACGCAACCAAAGCGUAGUAUAACUAUUUCGUUAUGGAAGCGUGGGUGCCUCUGCCGUAACCCCCAAUUUCUUAGUUUUUGAACUCGGAUCAGGUAGGGAUACCCGCUGAACUUAAGCAUAUCAAUAAGCGGAGGA